rnacentral:other from 1 species
GAUCCCUUACUACAACUCAAACCAAUCAAUUAUCAAAAUGAAAACCCCCUAGGGAUCUG